rnacentral:tRNA from 1 species
GGGCCCGUGGUCCAGGGGUUAUGACGUCGCCUUCACACGGCGGAGAUCCGGAGUUCAAAUCUCCGCGGGCCCA